AUGGGCUCGAGCUAUUGAGCAUAUGGGUAUGAUGCAGGUCGAGAGGCUCCUCGCUAGGCGUCUGGAUUCCUGAAGCGGAGUCGUCCCUGGGAUGUUUUGGUUUAUCAGUUUAUGUAUAUAUAUGUACUUAGUUACUUAGCUUGCUCUCCAAGAAACUUGUUAUUUUGUUCCUCAUAGAUGUUACAGGAGAGUUAGGACUUUAUCUCUGUAUUUUGGGUAUUUUGGGACGCUGGUAUAUAUAUGUAAAUAUUCUCCGGCCAGCCUUGGCUUCGCAGGCUGAGUCAGGAGCUAGUUUCACUGUA